rnacentral:lncRNA from 1 species
GGUAUAGAAAUGGUAUCACCAUGUGCACAAGCAAAAUAAAUUUAUCAUCAAUCAUUCAAAGCUCCAUAAAAACAUUCCCAAAGAAAAACCAAAAACAAGUGGCAGCCGGCUAUUCUUCAUUCUCAAUGCAAUUGGUGCAGCCAAGACAGUAGACAAAGAAAAUAAAGCUAGUAAAUGAAUGCUCUAAGACGUGACAGCUGCUAACUUAUCUAAAUCAAUCAUCCAUUCUUCACAAUUGUUAGACUGUAAGCUCUUUUUUUUUUAAAAAAAAAGGAAGAAAAGAAAAAAAAUGUUCUUCUCCAAAUCUAGGACAUGUAGCCAUCCCCUUCUCCCAGCAUGAAGUCGUGACACCUUAGC